rnacentral:lncRNA from 1 species
GUCCCACAGGUGGUGGCCCAUGGGGGGUGACCCUUGAGGAGGCCCAUGGUGGCAGUGGCCACCCCGUGUCACCCAGUGGCCCUGUGGGCACCCCGAGGGCAGCCGGGGCUGGGGGUGGUGGCCCGUGGGGUGGCCAAAGGGGGCAGAGCCACCCCAGGGGUGCCCCAGGCUUGGUGGCCCUGGGGGUGGCCCAUUGGGGUCAGUGGCACUGGGGUUGUGGCCGGUGGCCCACGGUUGUGGCCCUGGGGACACCGCAGGGUGGCCCAUAGAAGGUGGCCCAUUGGGCUUGGUGGCCCUGGGGGUAGCUCUGGGGACACGGCAGGCAUGGCCAGCAGCAGUGACCCCAGAUGUGGCCCACGCUGGUGGCCGGGGGUCAGUGACGUCCUUGGCGUGUCCCAUGACCCCCCUGUGGGUGGUGACCCUGUGCCACCCCCCUGUCACCGCUCUGGGGGUGGCACCACCGCAGUGCCAGCAGCCCGGUGGCACCCAGGGUUGGCCAGGACUGGUGGCCGGGGGUCAGCGAUGUCCUUGGCGUGUCCCGUGACCCCCCUGGGGGUGGCGACCUGGUGCCACCUCCUUGUCACCUCCCCGGGGGUGGCACCCAGGGCUGGUCAGCAGUGGCCGGGGCUGGCGGCCCUGCCUGGUGACCAUGCCCGGUAACCCCGGUGGCCUCAGGGUGUCCCCACCGGUAGCCCCGGGAUGGCCCCGGUGUCCCCGCCUGGUGACCACGCCCAGUGUCCCCGCCCGGUGGCUCCGGGGUGACCACGCCCGGUGUCCCGGUGCCCCGGUGUCGCCGCUAGUCGCCGGCCAUGCACUUGAAGCGGUUCUUGAAGAAGAAGAGGCGCUGCUUGAGGCGCACGCUGUCGUCGCGGGCGGCCGGGUACCGGUACCGGUUGUACUGCCGCUCCCCCUCCGAGCGCCGCCACGGCAGCGCCAGCUUGGACGCGUGAUCCACCACCACGUCCUCGCACGAGCCCACGUGCAGCACCCCCAGGCCGUCGAUGAAGAAUUCUGGGGAGGGGGGCACGGGGGGAC